UUAAUGCUCAUGGCCAUUGUUCACUUUAAAAAUACAGAGAUUCUUGUAUUGCCUUUUACUGCAAAAACUUUUUUUAUUGGCAAGCAAUAAAAAAGUCGAGCGCGCUGUCUUACGGACAGCUCUUGUUUGAAGCUGCUGUUACACAGAUUCUCUGAGUCUUGGAGACAUGUGGGAGGAGAAUCGUGAAAUUAAGAGGAUGAUGUAGCAAUUUUUGUCAAGGUCAGCAGCAGAUGACCAACCGCUGCAGCUUCCUGAAGAUAUCUCAUUCCCUAUUCGUUCUCCUUAGCAGAUGGAAACAUUCGAUGAGCUUCUGGGAGAUCAGACAAAGCUGUCAUCUGUGGUGCGGUUCCUCUCAAUGUUUGGUGGGGCAGUUGUGCGGGAAACUGUUGACCGCUAGAUGAUAGAAACCAUGUCAAAUGAACUGGCAAGAAUGUUCAAUAUGAAGGGGGCUGAAAGGGAAGAAAACAUUUGGGGGCCUCUAGAUACUGAAUGUAUUGUAUAAAUGUGUCCAAAGGAACUUGCCGACAAAGACUGCGACGAGGAAGGAUAUUGAAAUAAAGGUUUCAAAGUGGCUGGCUGGGGCGUGGGACCGCGAUGGGGGAAGGAAAGCAAGAAACAAAGUGUCCGAGACCUUACCUGAAGCAAAUGAAGGAAGUGACUAGACAUGUUUUUAUUUUUAAAAAAUGCAAAUCUAUAGAGGAUAUUUGUUUGUUAGUGUGUAAGAUGACAUUUUAUAUCAUCAAGUGAGCUGUAAAAACAUUAUUCUCACGAGUGAGAACACUGUUAUUUAAAAGUCCCUCAAUGAUAUAAAAUUACAUCUUACACAACAAACAAUAAAGUGUCUUUUUAUUUUAUGCUAAUGAAAUUUCCUCAAUAUUAACUUUAAUAAUUAUUAAAUCUGUUUUCCCCACUGUUAACAUCAAUUUUAGUUGAAUUUAAGUCCAAUUAUUCAUAAAUACAGGAGUCUUGGGCUUAACAAAAAGUUUGACAAUCAACGUUGAAUAGCAAUGAUUUUAUUUAUUUUAUUAAAAAUAUAUGAAUAAUCGCUUGUUUUAAUAAUAAAAACAACCAAUUCUAGAAGAACAAGAGGGCCAUGAUGGCCCAAAGUCGCUCACCUGUAUAUAGGCCCCUGGAGCGGGGCCAGUUUAAACCCCAGGGCUUUUAUUU